GACGAACGCUGGCGGCGUGCUUAACACAUGCAAGUCGAACGGAAAGGCCCUGCUUUUGUGGGGCGCUCGAGUGGCGAACGGGUGAGUAACACGUGAGUAACCUGCCCUUGACUUUGGGAUAACUUCAGGAAACUGGGGCUAAUACCGGAUAGGAGCUCCUGCUGCAUGGUGGGGGUUGGAAAGGUUCGGCGGUUGGGGAUGGACUCGCGGCUUACCAGCUUGUUGGUGGGGUAGUGGCUUACCAAGGCUUUGAGGGGUGGCCGGCCUGAGAGGGUGACCGGCCACAUUGGGACUGAGAUACGGCCCAGACUCCAACGGGGGGCAGCAGUGGGAAAUAUUGCACAAUGGGGCGAAGCCUGAUGCGGAAACGCCGCGUGCGGGAUACCGGCCUUCGGGUUGUAAACCGCUUUCGCCUGUGACGAAGCGUUAGUGACGGUAAUGGGUAAAGAAGCACCGGCUAACUACGUG
rnacentral:rRNA from 1 species